AUCAGCUAUUACUCCAAACCCUCAGUGAAAAAGAUUAAAUGUUCAAAUAAAAUCGACAUAAGACUGGAUGGAUAUAAAUGUGCCGGAGCUGUGCAGUACUCCACAGAUGGAGGGCAACAAUGGUCAGGAUACUUAUGUGCUGACAAAUGGGAAAAAGAGGAAGCAGAUUUUCUGUGUAAAAGCCAGGGGUGCGGUAAAUCCAAGGAGCUGCAAAUGCACGACUGGAUGAUUUGGGACGGAUUCAACUCAAACGCUAAGAAGAAGAUCAACUGUUCAGACAUCUCACCCCUAGAUAAUCUGUGGCAGUGCAUCACCAAGGAAUCCAAUUCUAAGUGCGAAAACCCUGUUUCUGUCGUAUGCAAUGGUUAUAACAGGCUGCAGCUCAGAGGAAACGCAUCAAAUGUCUGUUCUGGGCGGCUGGAGAAAGAGAAAAACGGCAAGUGGAAUCCAGUUAAAUACAAUGGAAGCACUGAUGAUCAGUGGUGCCGGCAGCUGCACUG